rnacentral:rRNA from 1 species
UGGGGAAUAUUGCGCAAUGGGCGAAAGCCUGACGCAGCGACGCCGCGUGAGGGAUGAAGGUUUUCGGAUCGUAAACCUCUGUCAGAAGGGAAGAAACCGCACUGUGCUAAUCAGCAGUGCCUUGACGGUACCUUCAAAGGAAGCACCGGCUAACUCCGUGCCAGCAGCCGCGGUAAUACGGAGGGUGCAAGCGUUAAUCGGAAUUACUGGGCGUAAAGCGCACGUAGGCUGCUUUGUAAGUCAGGGGUGAAAUCCCACGGCUCAACCGUGGAACUGCCUUUGAUACUGCUUAGCUUGAAUCCGUGAGAGGGUGGCGGAAUUCCAGGUGUAGGAGUGAAAUCCGUAGAUAUCUGGAGGAACAUCAGUGGCGAAGGCGGCCACCUGGACCGGUAUUGACGCUGAGGUGCGAAAGCGUGGGGAGCAAACAGG